GGCAAAUUUUGCCUUUUUUGGUUGUUGGACAAAUGCUGUGGACAUGUCCAUUAAACCUCAGAGAAGAGGCAAGAUCUGCCUUAAGGAGGCGUGGAAGCAGGGCUAGGACUGCCCUAAAGAGCAGGUCACAGCUGACCCAGCAGAGGUGACUCGGGAACAUCUAUCUGCCCUUUAGCCAGCUCUGUGCUGGAGCUGCUCACGCCACGACCCCUGAUUGUGAAAUCUCCUCCUAACCCUGUGUUCAGUGACGUCACAUUGUUAGCUUGACAUCAGCCAUGGUGGGAGGAGCAUCGACACUGCAGAAAUUGGCAAAGGUUCCAAAUCAGGGCUCCUCUACCUGCUGAGAGCUGGUUAGUAAACAUUUCCCAGCACACCCCUGCCUUCAACAUUAGGACAAGAAAGGCCCCCAUCACAUAAUUCACCUUCCAAAUCAUCACGUUCCUCAGGAAAAGGGAGCAGCAGUGCAGAUUGACACCAAACCCUAGAGCAGCUGCUUCUGUCUUGUGUCGAUAGGCGGAAGGAACUUGUCUGGCAAGUUUGCCCCAAAGAUCUUUGUCCCUUCACUGGAGGAGCAGAGGGUGCCUUCCCGGUUGUCACUUAGCCUUAAAUUGCCAGCAUCCCAGGAGAGCACUUGGAGCCCCUCAUCUGGAUGUACUCAGGAAGGAUGCGAGACUGCCUGGUGCCUGGGAACAGGCCACAUCUCCGAAGCCAGGAGCCUGGGCUGGAGCCUCUUAAUAAUUUACCAUUUCCUUAUAGGGACCGGAGGAGGCCAGGCACGGUGUUGAAGUUUGAUUAGUAAUAAGAACAUAGCAGCUUAACCUCUAACAUUUAGCACUCUCCCCCGGAUCGAAUUACUGAUCUCUAUCUGAGUGAGCCAUGUUAGCCGGCUGCCUGGGAACAUUACACCUCUUUAAAAGCUGUCAGUCUCUGUCACUCUCUUUGCACAAUAGAGCCCAUAGCUAUUUUUAAAGGACUGUGUCACCUUUCAAGAGAAAUUGUGUCUGUACGGAAGAUUGACUUUUUCUUUUAGUUGUUUUAUACACCGAAUUGGUGGUCUUUCAUCUCCCAAGGUGACGUUGGGGGCUGAACCUCCCUCAAGCCGCCAGUGUUUUGAUUUUUAUUUAAGGGAGAAUAUGAAGGAACUGAGAAAAAUAAAAUAAUUGCCCAAAGUCCAUGUUGUCUGUAGAAAGGGAAGGAAUGGAACGGAAGGCACAUUUGUCCUGUAAUUAUUGGGUGGCAGGCAUUUGACUGAAAUAACCACGGUUUUGUUGAAUCCUUUCCAAAAUUCUGCAAGAUAGGAGUUGUUGAUCCCAUUUGCAGAUGAUUCUAGCUAGGAUGGUGGACUCUGGAACCAAACUCCCUGGGUUUCUAAUCCCGCUUUGACUUGGGGACCACUUCCUAGCUGUGACCUUGGGUGUCAGUUUUCUCAUCUGUAAGACGGUGGUGGUCACAGUGCUUCCCUGCUGGUAGAGUCACUGUGAGAAUUCACUGAGUUAAUCCAAUUCAAGCAGUCAGACGAGCGCCUUGUACACGUUUUGCAAGUGAAGUUCCAUGAGACAACGGCUAUGCACGUGAGCAGAGGAGAUAUGCAGCAGGUGUGGUCCAGCAAUCCUUG
rnacentral:lncRNA from 1 species